rnacentral:rRNA from 1 species
UGGGGAAUUUUGGACAAUGGGGGCAACCCUGAUCCAGCCAUGCCGCGUGCAGGAUGAAGGCCUUCGGGUUGUAAACUGCUUUUGUUAGGAACGAAACGGUGGAUGAUAAUACCAUUCACUAAUGACGGUACCUAAAGAAUAAGCACCGGCUAACUACGUGCCAGCAGCCGCGGUAAUACGUAGGGUGCAAGCGUUAAUCGGAAUUACUGGGCGUAAAAGCGUGCGCAGGCGGCUUGAUAAGACAGGUGUGAAAUCCCCGAGCUCAACUUGGGAAUAGGCAACUUGUGACUGUCAGGCUAGAGUAUGUCAGAGGGAGGUGGAAUUCCGAAGUGAUAGCAGUGAAAUGCGUAGAUAUUUGGAAGAACACCGAUGGCGAAGGCAGCCUCCUGGGAUAAUACUGACGCUCAUGCACGAAAGCGUGGGGAGCAAAACAGGAUAGAUACCC